AAGGAGUCUAACAUCUAUGCGAGUGUUUGGGUGUCAAGCCCAGACGCGUAAUGAAAGUGAACGGAGGUGGGAACCCUUUGGGUGCACCAUCGACCGAUCCUGAUGUCUUCGGAUGGAUUUGAGUAAGAGCAUGGCUGUUGGGCCCGAAAGAUGGUGAACUAUGCUUGAAUAGGGUGAAGCCAGAGGAAACUCUGGUGGAGGUCCGCAGCGAUUCUAACGUGCAAAUUGAUCGUCGAACUUGGGUAUAGGGGCGAAAGACUAAUCGAACCAUCUAGUAGCUGGUUCCUCC
rnacentral:misc_RNA from 1 species